UGACCAUGAUGGUCAUGAUGGUCAUGAUGGUCAUGAUGGUCAUGAUGGUCAUGAUGGUCAUGAUGGUCAUGAUGGUCAUGAUGGUCAUGAUGGUCA
rnacentral:misc_RNA from 1 species